GCCCUGUGAUGAGACCAAGGCGAAUGCGAGCUCUUCUGAAUGAGAGCUGUGGGGUCUCUUUGCCUCAACUGGCCGGUAAUCUUGGUUGUGUGGCGAAGGUUUGCUGCACCGCUGUAAGGGCCUGCCUAUAGUGACUUGGCUGCUCCCCAGAGUGUUUCUCCUUUAAAGCAACAGUGGAGUAAUAAUUGGGAGCAUGCUGACAGUGUGAGUGUGUGUGUUGGAGGCAAGGAGUUACUCAGCUCUUUCUUCUGUUCAGUUAGCUUUGAGCUGCUUUUUGGUAAUCUGAGGGCC